rnacentral:rRNA from 1 species
UGGGGAAUAUUGGACAAUGGGCGCAAGCCUGAUCCAGCCAUGCCGCGUGAACGAUGAAGGCCUUAGGGUUGUAAAGUUCUUUUGUCAGGGAAGAUAAUGACGGUACCUGAAGAAUAAGCACCGGCUAACUUCGUGCCAGCAGCCGCGGUAAUACGAAGGGUGCUAGCGUUGUUCGGAAUCACUGGGCGUAAAGCGCGCGUAGGCGGCGAUAUAAGUCAGAGGUGAAAGCCUGGAGCUCAACUCCAGAACUGCCUUUGAAACUAUAUUGCUAGAGUGUCGGAGGGGAUAGCGGAAUUGCUAAUGUAGAGGUGAAAUUCGUAGAUAUUAGCAGGAACACCGGUGGCGAAGGCGGCUAUCUGGACGACAACUGACGCUGAGGCGCGAAAGUGUGGGGAUCAAACAGGAUUAGAUACCCAAGUAGUCCCUGAGCGGGCUGGCAAGGCGCAU